UACAGAGGGUGCAAGCGUUGUUCGGAAUUAUUGGGCGUAAAGCGCGUGUAGGCGGCUUGGCAAGUCGGGUGUGAAAUCCCUCAGCUUAACUGAGGAAGUGCGCCCGAAACUGCCGAGCUUGAGUACCGGAGAGGGUGGCGGAAUUCCCCAAGUAGAGGUGAAAUUCGUAGAUAUGGGGAGGAACACCGGUGGCGAAGGCGGCCACCUGGACGGAUACUGACGCUGAGACGCGAAAGCGUGGGGAGCAAACGGG
rnacentral:rRNA from 1 species